CUAAUAAUGCAUUAUUUAAUUUUAUAUUACAUAAAAAAUCAGUUCAAAUCAACAUUUCCUUCUGAAUACUGAUUAGAAAUCAUCACGAUCAAUUAAAAACCUUUGCAUUUUUUUUUAUUCAGGUUCCUACAUCUAAAAUAACUUUUAAUGGUCAGUAGAAUUAAAAAGAAAAAAAAAAUUACUUGUAUUUUUCACAGUAUAUAUGAAUAUGAAGACAUAUAGCCGUCUUUAUUUUGUAAGAAUUGAGGGCCAUUGCCAAGGGAAUCAUCAUAUUUUAAUUUUUUGAUUUGUAUUUGGCAUCAAAAAGUAUGGAAAGUUUUAUUUAUUUAUUUAUUUAUUUUUUUGCAUAAUUUACUAUAUUUUACCUUUGCAUUGCAGUAUAAUAACCUGAAUUUUGAUGGUGAUUAGUAUUUUGUUGUACAUAUAACCACACUUGAGUGAUUCAUGAGGGUACAUGUGGCUGUGGGAGAAGUCCUUAUCGGGUCCAUAAAAGGAAUCAGUGCUGUUGGUAAAUAUUUUUUGUGUAUGUACACAGACACACAGCAGCAGAACUGGGUCGUUUGAUGAUAAACUCUGCAUUACUGUGUAAAUCUGUUGUCAGUCUACAGCUUCAUUCAGCAGCAAAAUUAAUGUGUAAAUAUGCUGGCUCAUAUCUCGCUGCUGUUACAUCACGGCGGGACUUUGGGGGUCUGUUUGUGUGCGUGUGUGUGCAUUUUCAUCAAAACUGCAAAAUCGAUGCUAAGCAGAUUCAGAUCUUCGUCGCUGGCUAUAUUUCAGCUAGUGCCCUCACUAAUGCUGACGUGUCCGAGGCGGCCAUUAUUACCCGCCAUUAGCAUUACUGUCGCCGCUGUUACAAAUUCAGCUGUUCCAGCCGAUUUAAAUUCAGCUGAAGGAAGCGCGUGUGUGUGUGUGUGUGUGUGUGUGUGAGAGAGAGAGACGGAAAGAGUGAAGCAGUGGGGAGGUGGUCAGGUUUGGACGGGGAAGACAGAGGUAUGAGAGCUGCACAGGAGGAACCGUGAGGGAUGACUGCAUUAGCAUAGUGUGGGCUGAUGUGGCGGCUCAAGGACGUGCCCACGUGAACUGGAUAUUUUGAGUUGUUGUGAUGUAGUAAAUUGUCAUUUCUGUAGGUUGAAUUGAUCUGAAAUGGUACUGGUUGCCAUAGCAACCAGUUUGUCAAAAUACUGUAGUUGCAUAUGGUAUCAAUGAAUGCUAGUCUCUGGAAAUCUUUGGCCACUACUGCCAUUAAAAACAACAACAACAAAAAACAGGGACAUAGUAUAUACUGUGUUGGUUACUGGUGUAUUUUUUUAUUUAUUUAUUGUGACCCUGGACUGCAAAAUCAGUCUUAAGUCGCUGGGGUAUAUUUGUAGCAAUGGCCAAAAAAACAUUGUAUGGGUCAAAAUUAUAGAUUUUUCUUUAAUGCCAAAAAUCAUUAGGAUAUUAACUAAGGAUCAUGUUCCAUGAAGAUAUUUCAUAAAUUUCCUACCGUAAAUAUAUAAAAACUUAAUUUUUGAUUAGUAAUAUGCAUUACUAAGAAUUCAUUUGGACAACUGUAAAGGUGAUUUUCUCAAUAUUUAGAUUUUUUUGCACCCUCAGAUUCCAGAUUUUCAAAUAGGUGUAUCUCAGCGAAAUAUUGUCCGAUCCUAAUAAACCAUACAUCAAAAAUUUGACACUUAAGACUGGUUUUGUGAUCCAGGGCCACUAUUUAUUUACCUAUUUAUCUAUUUAUUUUAUUUUGGCUUCAGUCAAUAUUUAAUAUUUAAUUGUACAUGCUCAUUUAUUUUUUAAAUAGAUUUAAUCACCUUUGAGG
ensembl:lncRNA